rnacentral:rRNA from 1 species
GAUGAACGCUAGCGGCAGGCCUAAUACAUGCAAGUCGAACGCUCAGUAGCAAUACUGGGAGUGGCGCACGGGUGCGUAACGCGAACACAAUCUACCUCUAAGCGGGGGACACCUCCUGGAAACGGGGAUUAAUACCGCAUAAUAUGCCGAGGUCGCAUGACUUUGGUAUUAAAGCAGCAAUGCACUUAGAGAUGAGUGUGCGUCCCAUUAGGUAGUUGGUAAGGUAACGGCUCACCAAGCCUAUGAUGGGUAGCCGGUCUGAGAGGAUGGUCGGCCACACGGGCACUGAGACACGGGCCCGACUCCUACGGGAGGCAGCAGUAAGGAAUAUUGGUCAAUGGUGGAAACACUGAACCAGCCAUGCCGCGUGGAGGAAUAAGGUCCUACGGAUUGUAAACUCCUUUUGACGAGGAAGAAAGUGUUAGAUUUAUCUAAUUUUGACGGUACUCGUAGAAUAAGCACCGGCUAACUCCGUGCCAGCAGCCGCGGUAAU